UCCGUUUAAGAUGUCAAAAAAAUACACUAAAUUCCCUGCAUUUUAUAAAUGUAGGAUACAAUCCCUUACAUUAUAUUAGUCCACAUUUAUCCAAUAUUUUUUAAAAAAUAUGGGGGAUAUGAUAGAUAAUAUUUUUUAAUUCUUUCCAGCACUUUUUGAAUGUUGGGGUUCCUAAUUUUUGUAAAAAUAUCAUUUUGCAACUC
rnacentral:lncRNA from 1 species